AACAUGUUGUGCUCUCUUUUGUGCUGGCAAAAAGGAGAAAGAAAGAAAAAAGGGUUUCUGCAACAACAGAAACACGAGACUCCCCGCGUUCGGAUAAAACCAAGAGGAGAACUCUCCAGGAGGAGAAGCAGCUGAGGUUUGAAGAGAGAUGAUGGCUAAGAGAAUUCGUUUUGGAGCUGCAUGAGCAACCCGGCGGAGGAAAACAUGCUUCCUAUCAGUGUUGUUUCUGCUGUGUCUGCGAUGGAGGAAAUGAGAGCAGAGGCUGAGGGGGAGUGAGCAGGACUGAGGAAGAGAAAGGAGAAGAAACAAGGGUGAUAAGGGCCAAGCAGGCCUCUUAUGAACUUCUCUUGGGCUGUGCAUGUUCCAGGCAGUAGGAAUAUGAAAGGAAAUUGCUCUCUGAGCCCUGGCGUCUGUUCUCUUUACAAUGUGUGUCUUCAUGUCAGCUUUGUAUUCAUCCAUUUUCUUACACCAGAUCCAGUGGGUUACUGCAGAUAGGAGAAGCCAGUAGCUAUGUAUUUACUGCACCAUCCAUACCAUCCAUACAUAAACCCUUUGUUUCAGAGAAACCUCUUAGCUAGGCUGAUCCGCAAGUUUGGGUAAGGUAGAGGAUGAGGCUUAAAACGAUCACAGCAAAGCUCGAGUCCCUGAUUGGAGAGGGCCUUGGUACCUGCUGGGACGAGGACAGGAACAUCCACUGAAUUCCUCUGGAGGUAAAAGGACCUUCCCUAUACCAGAAGCCAAAAAACAAGGCACUAUACUAGGAUGUUACUGGAAACUGGGAAAAUGUAUCGGGGGGCAUGUCUGCCCUAUUCUUUUAUUAUUCCCUUAGCAUCCAUAAUUAGCUGCUGCUGGAAAGCCCGGGUGCAACAGGCCUGCCCUAGCAGAGUGCAGCUACUCUGGCAGCCUGACACUGUUCCUCCACGAGGAGUAGUCACACUAACCUGAACAGCACCGUUCUUGGAUGUGUUAUAUCAUGACUGCAUCCAAGUGCUUACAGGAUUUUGACUUACCAAAGUUUGCAGGGCUUCUGCUUUGGUCUAGCUUUUUGGGCAUCAGUAGAGAUGCCCGGUGCAUUGUUGUGAGAGCCAGGGUCUGCCCUGCUUGCUGCUACCAGAGCUUUUGGGGACACACUCCCAGGCCUGUGGCACACAUUGUAAUGCUGCAGAGGAUUUUGACUAUGGCUAAAAGAAAAAAAAAAAAAAAAAAAAAGAGCCAUCUGAAGACAGAAGGAGAGACCUGGCUGAGUCCCGGGAGAGGGGCUGGAGCUGGGAGGAAUUUCACUGCAGCAAUGAUCAGCAUCUUCUGCAGAGAAGAGAGCAGCAAGAAUGCGAAGCAUCUGUCCUAUCUGCAACGUACUGUGACGAGAGAGUCGCCCUCUGCUACGAGCCUGUUUUGGUGGCAGCGAAGCUCCCGCAUGCCUCGCUGCAGUCAUUUCCCAGGAGAGGUCGGCAGGAGGUGGGCACCAGGGCAGCUGAUUCAGCAAUUGCUCUGAAUUCAGCUUUUUUCUUCAUUCCGUAUCAAAAAUAAGGAGCUGUUGUUUACGCCGGGCUCACUGAACGGCCCCCUGUUCCCAUGAUACCUAGAGGAGGCUGACAAUUAUCCUCCCUGGCUUCUCCCCGGAGCUAUUUUCUUUGCUGGCGGGGAGGAAAUUGUUCAUGUUUCAUUGGCGCUACCGUUGUUCCAGCUGCCAGAGCAGGAAUGUUUGUCCGCCAGCCUGCAUCGGUGGCAGCGGCUCCCCUUUGGACCUGCCAUCUGUUAGCUUAUCGCUGCUCUUAUCUGUGCCAUGGCAGGGGCUGGGGGCAUGGCCCCCGUGCCCAGCACUGCUCCAGCGUGCCAGCAGCAGCAGGGACAGGUAAGGGACACCUGGGGCAGGACGGGGGGGCUGCUCUGCCCAGAUCCUGUAGGAAAGCUUGAACUGUGUCGCCACGUCUCUCCUCGGCCGUGAUUGAUCCCUUACUGAAAUGCCUCCUUAAAUAUCCGCUGUAAAUAGCAGCUGCAGUGUAACACAGGGGGCUGCUAGUCCCUGAUUUACAAAACAAGGGUUCAUAUAAACAUCCUCUUUCGGAAGCCUUGCGUCAUCUGGGAAAAAAAAAAUAAAUAAUAAUAAUAAUAAAAUUUACAUUUCACCUGGUUCUUAUCCCACUGGGAUUCUCUGUACCAUGGGAUCCUCCCUGACUGGGAGGUUGUUUUUUUAGGGUUGAUUCCUGGGGAGGCCUGGAUUUUCAGAUGUUGCAGUCUCAGGCCUGACUGUGCUGCGAUUGCUGUUGGAAGAACUGAGACCCGAGAAAUGAGACCUAAAAAACAAGACCCGCAGCAUCCCUGGCCACCCCCCCAGGGCUGCAGCUUGAUCUUGGCAGUGCUGAACCCUCUUGUCCGGAGCCGUGUGGGUCAUUUCAUCUUCCAACCCUUGUUCCAAGCUCUCGUUUCCCUUUGUCUGGAGCCGGCGAGGGGCUGGUUUCUCCCCCCGGAGCGUGCAGUGCCGGAGCCGCGCCGCUGAGCGGCACCGUCCAUCCAGGCACCUCGUCCUGCAGGGCACCCGCACUGCUCCCCGAGCAGGUGGCCCCCGGGACACCUCACCCCUGGGGGGGCCUCAGCAGCACCCCCAAAAGCCGAGGGGUGAACCUAUAAAACGCCAGGGGUUGGGGAAAGCUAGGCUGAUAACCCCAACCACCCGUACGACACCCACGUUGCAUCCCAAUGCAAAGCACCUUUUGUGAUUUCCAGCGUUUGGACUUGGUAGGAAGCAUUCGUAUUUAUUUAUAUAUGUUCCCCCCUCUCUACUUUCUCGUCUUUGUUUUUUGAAUUUGCAUUCAUUGCCUCCAGCUGUUCAAAUGAUCUGAGAUUAAAAUGUUCUUCACAGCACUGUCUUUUCAGAGAUUUUAUUUUCUUUCCUUUUUUGAGAUGAAACUUAGAAGCAAAAGUUUUCGACUUUAAAAUAACUCAGUCUUUGGUGUUUGCUGUGCUGUGAAUGAUAUUUCCAGUAAAUGGCCUCACGUAAGUCAAUAUCUAAUUCGUGUCUACUUUCACUUUCUGACAAUUAUGACUGUUUUUUGACCUGGAAAUCUGGAAGCUUGUUUAUUAACCUGGUUUGAUAAGCUUAGUGAAGACACAAAAGUAAACUUUUACUUUAAAAGUAAAAAGGGGAACGUUUCAAGUCCUGUCAAACAGAAACAGGAUCUGCACUUUCCAUUAGCCCAGUUCCUUCAGUUUCUGACAGCACACCGUGCCUGAUGUCCUCAAAGCCCUGGUCUGAGGACUCAUGGCCAUGGCUGGUGCAGGACCACGUGGGGCUGUGGAGGAACACACACUGGUGUCCUCGUCCCCACACCAUGCAGGCCAGCAGGACAGCACAGCUCCUGUCUGGUAAAAACCUUUCCAGAGGAAACCACAGGGAAGGGAAUGACUGCGGGGGUGCACCUCCAUCCCGCCCUGGUCCUGACGUGUGUGUUUGGCUUCAGAAACUGGAAGUCUCCCAGGCUUGCCACUUUCCCUGUGGCCCCUGUGUCUGCUUUGCCUGGCGGAGCCACUUCCCCCCUCCACCUUUCCCGGCCCAGAACUGCAAUUUCUGUCCUUAUUCCCGUGUGUGUUUUGGAGAAGCCAGCCAGGCGUGACGCUUGGCCAUGCUGGAGAGCAGACUUGCUCCUGCAGUCCAACACACUGCCGGGGCAUUUUUAAACAAAGGACUGCAAGAUCUUCAAGCAACACGGGGGACAGUUCGCCAGUUCCUCGUGUAAUAGAAUGGGGUUAGUUUAUGUAUUUUUAAAGAGGACAGUUCAGGGGUUGACAGUCAGAGCUGAAAGCCUGAGGAAUGUGUAUUUGUUGUUGCCAGAUGACUUGACAGAUGACACCACGCACACCAGUAAUCAGCAGCCUUAAGUCAGUGCUUGGAGGAGACACCCAGAGCUGCAGCAUCUGUGGCGACCCGCAAGCCCAGCUUCCCAAAGCUAUUCAGGGUACCUAAACCUCACUGGAGUCAGUACGCCGACAUAAUCAGUGGGGACCUUGCAUGAAGAUCAGCUGCAAUGUCUUAAUUGUUGGUGCUUUUUCUUUCAGCAAGCUAAAGCUGGACCAGGCAAGGCUAUCCCAAGAGGUCAGCAACCAGUUGGAAAACCCACACCCACAGUCCAUGGCUGCAUAUCGCGGCUGCGUAACAAUGUGUGUUGUUUUCUCUGUCUUACAUGUUUUAAGAAAAAGAAAAAAGAAAAAAGAAAAAAAAGAAAAAGAAAAAAAAAAAGAAAAAAAGAAAAAGAAAAAAAGAAAAAGAAAGAAAGAAAAAAAAAAGAACAAAAAAAAAAAAGAAAAAGAAGAAGAAGAGGAAGAAGAAGAAAAAGUUUUUCCUUUCCUCCUCAGACCAGAGUGAAAUUCUCAUAGCACUACCCUUCCUCCCACAAAAGCCCUUACUCAAAGACUGGUGGCACAACAAACAAUUUAUUAUUUUUUUUUCUGAAAGAAAUACAGGCAACAGAGAGUCCUUUUGCCAGUCCCAUCCUUUCACUGGCAUUGAAUACAGAAAAGCUGCUCCUUGACAGUAGUCCUGCCAAGCCUAAAUGAGCUGUGUCAGCUCGGGUUUGGAUGAUUUCCCUGUCGGUCCCGGGCAUUUUCUUCUGCAGUCAUUGUAGGGCACAGGCAAAUUAGGCAGCUGCUGAGUAGAUAGAGCUGCGAAAUGGCCCAUCACCACUUUGCCAAGGCUGCAGAGCCCAUUGUGGGUCUCUGCAUCCUGCCCCCCACCCCCCCCUUUCAGUGGCAGAAGAAGACCCAGCAGCUCCUCUCCUUCUCCUUCACUGUCAGAAAAGCAAACCAAAACGUCUUCCAAAGUGUUGACCAGCCUCGAGGUGACUACCCAACUAGGACACUUUCCUAGUGCCACACCACACCAUCUCCAAAAUGCACUGUGCCUAUGGGCACCCCUGCACUCUCACGGCUUGCAGGGAGGGGAAGAAAGGUCACAAAGCCUCGAUGAACAGCAUAGCUGCAGCCUCAUAGUGCUUUGUUUAGGAAAACAGCUGCCUUCUUUUUUUCCUGUGUGGUCUGAGCAACAUGUAAGCAAGGACCAAAGUGCUUCCAUGCCAUGGUGGUGGUAUAAAAGCAGUAAUUGCUUGCAAAAGCCUCACUUGCAUGGGGAUCCCAGUGCAAGCACUGGGAAGUGACAGCCAGCUGUGUCCCCUGCCCUCCUCACACUCCUGCUCACCAUGGGGAACGUGUGGAGUCACCUCCCACACCCGAGCAGUUCGCUGGCAAUGUCCAUGACACAUUUGCCCCUUCUGCCCUCAUGUCCUGCAUCUCAGGGACUUCCUCCUAGCUGAAAAUAGAGGCUUAGGGAAUGACCUAUCUGUCUGCCCAAAAUUACAGGGGGAGGAAAAGCUCUUUGUGUGUAUUUUUCUUUGGAUUUUACUUUUUUGUGUGUGUGUGUGUGUAUUUGUGUUGCUAGCAUGACUGAAGAUCCCAGCUGAAGCUGUGUUAGGAGUUGUACCAGCACUUAAAAAGGUGGACGUGUCCUGAGGACCCUCCCAGGAAGCAAUGACAAGCGGUGGAAGUUGUUGAGAGAAUAGGGAGAGUGUCUAAUAAAACACACUAAAAUGAACAUCUGCUUUUUGGCUGGGGGUUACUGUAAAUAAAAUUAAAUUGGUUAUCUCUGA